UCGAGUAAAUAAAAUGUUUUAAAAACAUAAAAUAUUUAUUUUUAUAUUCACUUCUAUGAAUUAUUAAUAACAUAUUAACAUCUUGAAAGUUUCAAACUUAAAUCCUUCAAAGUGUUGCUCAGUAUUUCAAUGUUGAGUAUUCACUGUUCACUUGUAAAGACAAUAUCUAAAAUACUGGAUUAAAUCAAACUUACUAUUUAGUAAUAUGAUAUAAAAGUAAUCUUUAAACUAUGUCUUACAGUAAAAGAUUCUCAAUCGACGAUGCAUUUGAAGAUGAACCAAUUGAUGAUAUUAAAGUGUAUGUGUCUAGUUUAGGAGAUUCACCUCUACAAUCGCCUAGACAAACCAAGUUAACUAAUUACGGCGGCAUUGAAAAUGAUUCGAUUUCAAGAACAAAAAAAUUUGAAGAUACAUUAUCUCGAGACAGUGAUUCGUUAAUUUACAAUUCAACGGCGCAUUCUAACCAAAAGAACUGGUGUUGGCAUCAUCCUCAAGUACGAGAAAAUUGGCGUGUUGUAUUAGCUGCUGUAAUUUUACUCAUUAUUGGAAUCGUAUUAUUAUCAGUGGCUAUAAUUGUACAGUUGACUCCGAACACAGAUUAUCAUCCAAUAGUGUUUUUCAUUGCUGGCUUCAUAUGUUUUAUACCUGGAGCAUACCAUGUUGUAUAUAUAUAUUUAGCCGCUAGAGGACAUCCAGGUUACAGUUUCUAUAGUUUAUCAUUAUUCAACUGAAUUUGGUGAAUAAUUUAGUGAAAACCAAGUAAACACAUUAUGGCAAAUUACAUAUAUUUAUGAGUCAAAUAUUGUAUAGACAAUGUUACAACAAGUGGCAUAAAUACAGCAAAAUGCAUAAAUUCACUAUUCAGAGUACCUUAAAUGUAUGCUGAAUUUUAUGAACCCUUGAAUUUAAUCUAAUGUUGGGAUGUGCAUUCAUUUUGCCUCAUUUUUUUUCUUUUUGUAAUAGGAAGGAAGUUAACAUUAUUUAUAUGUUCUAUUCACACUUAAUUUUACUGUGGUUCUUUUUGUGUCAGCAACAUAUUUUCCAUAACAAUAUAUUUUGAAAGAACAUUAAAAAAAAAUUUUUUAUUUAAACAAAACAUGUCUACAACUAAACUGCACGGGACCAAAGUCUAAAUCUAAUAAAGUAAAAAGAUUGACAGUUAACUGUAUUGUCUGUAUUACUAAAACUAUGACCAACAUUAGUUUAUAUUAUCAACUAUAAUUUUUUUAUUUUAAAAAUGUAUAAGUCUUAUUAAAAUUUAUCAAGUAUAGAUUUAGAAGUAAAAAAUAAAAAAAUGAUCCAAUUAUUAUUAUUUAUUAUCAAUUUAUGGAAAUUAUACUAACUCUAAUGCUAUUUAAGUAUUUAACUGAACUAUUUGUAUAGAUAAAUGAUGUGUGAUAAAAUAGUGCUCUGUAUUUAAAUUAAUUAUAAAGUAUGUUAAAUUGUGUUACUUAUUAGAACAUUUAACUAGUCAUCCAAACUUAUAUUAUACUUUUGUUUUCAUUUUUUUUUUUUUUAUGUUUAAUAAAUAUCAUUUUAUACAGUUUA